rnacentral:rRNA from 1 species
UACGAAGGGGGCUAGCGUUGCUCGGAAUCACUGGGCGUAAAGCGCACGUAGGCGGCUUUCUAAGUCAGGGGUGAAAUCCUGGAGCUCAACUCCAGAACUGCCUUUGAUACUGGGAGAGCUUGAGUCCGGAAGAGGUGAGUGGAACUCCGAGUGUAGAGGUGAAAUUCGUAGAUAUUCGGAAGAACACCAGUGGCGAAGGCGGCUCACUGGUCCGGUACUGACGCUGAUGUGCGAAAGCGUGGGGAGCAAACAGG